UACGAAGGGGGCUAGCGUUGCUCGGAAUCACUGGGCGUAAAGCGCACGUAGGCGGCUUACUAAGUCAGGGGUGAAAUCCUGGAGCUCAACUCCAGAACUGCCUUUGAUACUGGUAAGCUCGAGUCCGGGAGAGGUGAGUGGAACUGCGAGUGUAGAGGUGAAAUUCGUAGAUAUUCGCAAGAACACCAGUGGCGAAGGCGGCUCACUGGCCCGGUACUGACGCUGAGGUGCGAAAGCGUGGGGAGCGAACAGG
rnacentral:rRNA from 1 species